UAAUCUUUCUGUAUGGUCAUUUUCGCAGAUGUUUCUUCACGGCAAGAUGUUCCUUCUGCAACAGCCUCCCACGAAAUCGCCCACGAAAUCUUCCACCAAAGUGGAGUUGACAGUUCCCUACAGCAUUCUUGAUGUUUCUUCACGGCAAGAUGUUCCUUCUGCAAAAGCCUCCCAUGAAACUGCCCACGAGAUCUUGCAUCAAAGUCAUUUCAUUCUUGUUGCAGCUUCUGUUGCGUUUUUGUGAUGCCGCGAUACUCCAUUUUUUUAACGAUCCCGAUGUGUUGGCAAGUACUUCGAUGCCAACACGUUGGGACCGUCUACGACACAGUGGCUUAGUCGGUACUCGGUAGCCAUUAAGGCGAGUCGGCGCCUGUGUCGUAUUUUGGAAUAGAUUGUUGCAGCUUCAGAAGCUAUAACGCUAAGCUAUAUAACGCUAGUUGGAUGCUGCAGAUAGCGAUUUUUUUGACAGAUGUUCCUUUACGGCAAGAUGUUCCUUCUGCAACAGCCUCCCACGAAAUCGCCCACGAAAUCUUCCACCAAAGUGGAGUUGACAGUUCCCUACAGCAUUCUUGAUGUUUCUUCACGGCAAGAUGUUCCUUCUGCAACAGCCUCCCACGAAAUCGCCCACGAAAUCUUCCACCAAAGUGGAGUUGACAGUUCCCUACAGCAUUCUUGAUGUUUCUUCACGGCAAAAUGUUCCUUCUGCAACAGCCUCCCACGAAAUCGCCCACGAAAUCUUCGUGGAGUUGACAGUUCCCUACAGCAUUCUUGGCGAGUGAAUUGAGCCUUUCAUGGAACACAUAAGUUCGAGUGUCAUUUCAUUCUUAUUCUUGCUUGAUGGAUCUUCUGUUCUUCUAAUCUUUCUGUAUGGUCAUUUUCGCAGAUGUUUCUUCACGGCAAGAUGUUCCUUCUGCAACAGCCUCCCACGAAACUGCCCACGAGAUCUUCCACCAAAGUCAUUUCAUCCUUGUUGUAGCUUCUGUUGCGUUUUUGUAAUGCUGCGAUACUCCAAUUUUUUUUAACGAUCCCGACGUGUUGGCAAGUACUUCGAUGCCAACACGUUGGGACCGUCUACGACACAGUGGCUUAGUCGGUACUCGGUAGCCAUUAAGGCGAGUCGGCGCCUGUGUCGUAUUUUGGAGUAGAUUGUUGCAGCUUCAGAUGCUAUAACGCUAAGCUAUAUAACCCUAGUUGGAUGCUGCAGAUAGCGCUUUUCUUGACAGAUGUUCCUCCACGGCAAGAUGUUCCUUCUGCAACAGCCUCCCACGAAAUCGCCCACGAAAUCUUCCACCAAAGUGGAGUUGACAGUUCCCUACAGCAUUCUUGAUGUUUCUUCACGGCAAGAUGUUCCUUCUGCAACAGCCUCCCACGAAAUCGCCCACGAAAUCUUCCACCAAAGUGGAGUUGACAGUUCCCUACAG